CCUACGGGUGGCAGCAGUGGGGAAUAUUGGGCAAUGGGCGCAAGCCUGACCCAGCAACGCCGCGUGAAGGAAGAAGGCCUUCUGGUUGUAAACUUCCUUUUUUAGGGACGUAGAAUGCGACGCUACCUCAGUUUUAAGCCUCCGCUAACUAUGUGCCCGCAGCCGCUGCAAUACGGAGGCGGCAAGCGUUAUCCGGAUUUAUUGGGUGUAAAGGGUGUGUAGGCGGGAAAGCAAGUCAGAUGUGAAAACUCAGGGCUCAACCCUGAGCCUGCAUUUGGAACUGUUUUGCUUGAGUGCGGGAGAGGCAAUCGGAAGUCCGGGUGUAGCGGUGAAAUGCGUAGAUAUACGGAGGAACACCAGUGGCGAAGGCGGAUUGCGGGACAGUAACUGACGCUGAGGCGCGAAGGCGUGGGGAGCGAACAGGAUUAGAUACCCUAGUAGUC
rnacentral:rRNA from 1 species